rnacentral:tRNA from 1 species
GGCGGUGUCACCGGGCUGGUGACCUAGGUCUGCAACACCAAGUGUAGAAGGUUCAAAUCCUUCCACCGCCUCCA